CCCUUCUUCCCAGCAUGCCCCUGUUCCCACCUAGACAGUAACCUAAUACUCGCCACCUCCUACCACCUAGUGACAUCACCGGCUCCUCCAUUCCCUAGUCACUACCUCAUUCAACCCCACCUCAGCCCCUACAAGCCCCACCCCCAGUCUCUAUAAAAGACUCUCCCUGCCCCAGCCAUAUUGCUUUUGUCUCUCCUUUGUUCAGAGACAGCCCGGCAGAUCUAUUCCCCUAAUAAAGGCUUGUUGUGGCCUGGUCUGGUCUUGGUCUUCGGCCCUUUUACCUGACAUUUCUGGUGCCGUGACUCGGAUGGUAGAUGGUCCAUUAAGGGACGAUCCCCCGCAGGACGGGGUUGAUUGACCUUUUGGCCAUCUCCAACGGACCUAUCUGCCGUUGCCAGGACCCUCCGGGGCUUUCUACCUUUGCCAUUGCUGACGCUACACAUCCACACCGGUCACCAAUGUCUGGGUGAGUAGGGAGUUCAGCCUCCCUCUCGUCGGGUUCUCUGUCUCGUUCUCUCUCCCUCCGGGGACUCCUCAGAAAUCCAAGCGCUUGGUCAGAGAAACCCCCACGGCCUCUGGGCCCAGGACCGUGCCCCUGGGAGGCGUCCCAUCGGCCCGCCUCCUCUCGUUCUCUCCCUCUGGGAGACUCACUCGGAGAUUGUCAAAGGAGACAAGGACGCUUCUCCCCUUUGUCUUUCUCCCCAGGGGCUGCCUCCCUCCUCACCCGCUCUAAUCAGGGGGCCCAACAAUCCAAACCCCGCCCCUCAACGCCUCUGGGCUGCCUUCUGGCACAACUCAAACCCCUCGGAUUGUUGGGACCAGACUUUAGGCCAAAAAGAUUUGUUUUCUAUUGUAAUCAGGUUUGGCCUCAGUAUAAAUUAGAUAAUGGGUUUCCAUGCCCCAAAAAUGGCACUUUCAAUUUUAACAUACUGUGUGAUUUACACAACUUCUGUCAGUGCAAUGGCAAAUGGUCAGAAAUCCCCUACAUACAAGCCUUUUCUACCUAUGCUCUUAACCCUCCCUCUGUCAAACCUGUUCUUCUCAAGUACUCCUAGCCUGAGCUGAUCACUCACCGCUCAUACCUCCCCCACUUUAUAACUCUGUUGAUAAGAAAAAGUUUUAAAGCUUAAUAGAUUAGCUAUUAAAGUAGUUGUGGAAGCAAACUAAGUAGUGUAUCCCUUUAAAAACUUGCAUUAGCCCAUUGCUUCUGCUGUUCAAAGUGAAGGUUAUAUAGCUUCUUUGAUUUGUAGCUCCACUAUAGAUAACAUCCUAACUAAAGAAUGAAGUGAAAAUCCUUGAACAAACUUGUGAUAUAUGUGCCUUAAUUGUCAUGUGUUUAGGGCUGUAAUCAGUGACAGAAACCACCUGUGUCUAACCAUUAAACAGGAAUUAGAACUUUAUUUACUUAACAAAGACCACUAGGGAUGAGAUAAUGAUGGACAAAAGUAUAAAAUGUUUAUAGUGAGUCGGAGACAAAAUAUUUAAAAAGC
rnacentral:lncRNA from 1 species